UUAGAGGGCAAGUCUGGUGCCAGCAGCCGCGGUAAUUCCAGCUCUAAUAGCGUAUAUUAAUACUGUUGCAGUUAAAACGCUCGUAGUUGAACUUAGAAUUAUUACAAGUUAUUUUGCUUGAUUGUAAAAGUGCUUGCUUAAUUCUUAUCUACUAGAUACUCUAUUCUGUACUUAAUUGUAUGGAAUAUCACCUAGCCAGUGGAACUUUAGUAGAAUAAUGCCUUUUUUAGUACCAGAGCGUAAAAACUUGAAGUGUUAAAUUGGGAUCACAUUAUUUUAUUGAAGUGGGGUUCUAGUUAAUUUACUUUGAGUAAAUUAGAGUGUUCAAAGCAGCCUCUUGGGGCUUUGAAUAGAUUUAGCAUGGGAUAAUAGAAUAGGAUUUGAUAAUCUAUUUGUUGGUUUGAAUUAAUCAAAUAAUGAUUAAUAGGGACAGUUGGGG
rnacentral:rRNA from 1 species